rnacentral:lncRNA from 1 species
UGAACGCCUCGCAAGCCCUCUUCCCGGUGGAGCGAGGCAGCAGCUCUGACUGGUGUACCUAGGCUCAACUGCGGAGCUAAGGGAGGUUUUCCAUCGUCGGAGGUAUGUGGAAAGAGAAAUAACAGCUGUCAUACAACUGAACUUGCACGUGACAGUACAAACCUGUGGUCUAUACACUCCUUUGGCCCCAGGGACAGACAAGAAAGAUCAACAGUUCUCAUAUCAUGGAAACCCAGCCAGCAAGAAUCACACAUAUCAUCCUUACAGAAACACAGGGAAAGAGGCACAGAGAUGCUGUGGUGGCCUGGACCUUCACUUGCCACUAGGGUGAACAGACAGGCAUCAUGCAUCACAUUUUCAGGAAGCAGCUUGCCGUAACAUUUUGCAACAUGCUUGGAUGUCCUGGAUAUGAGAAGACCAACCAGAAGGUCAGAAACUGAAAAUUGGUUUGCAGAAUAGUUUGAGUGAACGUCUUAAGGUUACAAAGGUAAAUGCUAUCAGUAUUUUUUUUUGUAUAUUUCAACCUUUAGAAGUGAAAAUAUAAUGGAAAU